rnacentral:rRNA from 1 species
GACGAACGCUGGCGGCGUGCCUAAUACAUGCAAGUAGAACGCUGAAGGAGGAGCUUGCUUCUCUGGAUGAGUUGCGAACGGGUGAGUAACGCGUAGGUAACCUGCCUGGUAGCGGGGGAUAACUAUUGGAAACGAUAGCUAAUACCGCAUAAUAUUGACUAUUGCAUGAUAGUCAGUUGAAAGGCGCAACUGCACCACUACCAGAUGGACCUGCGUUGUAUUAGCUAGUUGGUGGGGUAACGGCUCACCAAGGCGACGAUACAUAGCCGACCUGAGAGGGGGCACGGCCACACUGGGACUGAGACACGGCCCAGACUCCUGCGGGAGGCAGCAGGAGGGGAACUUCGGCAAUGGGCGGAAGUCUGACCGAGCAACGCCGGGUGAGUGGAGAAGGGUGUCGGAUCGUAAAGCUCUGUUGUAAGGGAAGAAAGAGUGUGAGAGUGGAAAGCUCACACUGUGACGGUAUCUUACCAGAAAGGGACGGCUAACUACGUG